rnacentral:rRNA from 1 species
CAGCCGCCACGGUGAUACGUAGGGUGCGAGCGUUGUCCGGAUUUAUUGGGCGUAAAGGGCUCGUAGGUGGUUGAUCGCGUCGGAAGUGUAAUCUUGGGGCUUAACCCUGAGCGUGCUUUCGAUACGGGUUGACUUGAGGAAGGUAGGGGAGAAUGGAAUUCCUGGUGGAGCGGUGGAAUGCGCAGAUAUCAGGAGGAACACCAGUGGCGAAGGCGGUUCUCCGGGCCUUUCCUGACGCUGAGGAGCGAAAGCGUGGGGAGCGAACAGGCUUAGAUACCCGCGUAGUCCCUGUCUCUUAUAC